rnacentral:rRNA from 1 species
CUUCUGCUGACGACCGGCGCACGGGUGCGUAACGCGUAUACAAUCUGCCUUGCACUAAGGGAUAGCCCAGAGAAAUUUGGAUUAAUAUCUUAUGGUUUAUAAUUAUGGCAUCAUAUUUAUAAUAAAGGUUACGGUGUAAGAUGAGUAUGCGUCCCAUUAGUUUGUUGGUAAGGUAACGGCUUACCAAGACUACGAUGGGUAGGGGCCCUGAGAGGGGGAUCCCCCACACUGGUACUGAGACACGGACCAGACUCCUACGGGAGGCAGCAGUGAGGAAUAUUGGACAAUGGAGGAGACUCUGAUCCAGCCAUGCCGCGUGCAGGAAGACGGUCCUAUGGAUUGUAAACUGCUUUUAUACAGGAAGAAUAAGGACUACGUGUAGUCUGGUGACGGUACUGUAAGAAUAAGGACCGGCUAACUCCGUGCCAGCAGCCGCGGUAAUACGGAGGGUCCGAGCGUUAUCCGGAAUUAUUGGGUUUAAAGGGUCCGUAGGCGGGCUGUUAAGUCAGGGGUGAAAGUUUGCAGCUCAACUGUAGAAUUGCCUUUGAUACUGACGGUCUUGAAUUAUUGUGAAGUGGUUAGAAUAUGUAGUGUAGCGGUGAAAUGCAUAGAUAUUACAUAGAAUACCGAUUGCGAAGGCAGAUCACUAACAAUUGAUUGACGCUGAUGGACGAAAGCGUGGGUAGCGAACAGGAUUAGAUACCCUGGUAGUCCACGCCGUAAACGAUGGAUACUAGCUGUUUGGAUUUCGAUCUG